CUUACAGUGUCUUCCUUUCCUGCGAGUCAAAGGGACAUCCUAUCCUGGCUUCUGCUGUCUCCUAGUUGGUGACAUGGUCUCCCUGGUGAGCCUUGGCCAUUCCCUGCGUGAGGCUUCCAGUUCCUGCUUCCCAGAGCAGCUUGUGUCAGGAGCUGGCUAGUGUCUGGUGUGCAGUUUGCGGGGAGGCCACUGGGGCUCUGCAGGCCCCUUUGGAGACACCACUCCCACCCUCAUGGCAUCUUGGUGCAUCCUCCACGCUGAAGAGAGAGCCCUGCCCCCUGAACAGCUGACCCUCAAGACUCCAGUUUGUCCUAGGCCUGGCCACCUCGUCCUUCUGGAGGAUCCUGGACCCAAUCUUCAGAGAGGUCACCACACUGCAGCCUCACCAUGCAGAAUGACUGCUUUCACUGGACCCUUGGGUGAGAUGGACAUACAGAUGGACCUGAGGCUGGAGAAGCCAGGCCAUACUUUGCCUGAGAACCUGACCCACUCCUAGCUUUGCUGUCUGAAUCUGCAUGAAUCGGGCCCUUUAGAUUCCUUGGUUGUGGACAGGGAUGGAGGAGAGAUGAUAGUAUCAAACACUGUGGAGAGGUAGCAUGUGCCAGCUGCUCUUCCAGGAACUGUUCUAGUGUUCCUUGAUCCGACCGCAGCAGAAGGCUUUGUGCUUUUCUCAAGUUCACCGUGAGCUGCACAGAUCAGGGGAAUUUGCUCUUUUAUAGAUAAGGUAGCUGAGGCUAAAGCUCAAAGAUGCAGAAUUGAAACCCACAUCUGAGACCUUCCUUUCUUCCUAUCUACCGAAAGAAGAAGAAGAAUGGAAAGGGAAGAAAGAAAGGAAGGAAGGAAAGAAAAGAAUGAAUGAAUUUCUAUGGACUUCUAAAUGACUGGCACCUCCCUUCACUUCUGCAGUCCAGAGAGAUGGGCAAGUGUCCUGGCUUGUCACUACUGCUUCCCAGUGGAGCCGUGACUGUGAAGAUGAACACACAUGGGCAGAGAUGGGCUGAGGUGGGCGGGCAGGCUGCCAGACCUUGGAGAGAACACCGGCAAAAUGUGUAGUGUUAAUUGUCUAGAAUAACUCUUACAUAGAUGUACCUGAAAAUGAGAAUGUAAAACAUGGGCUUUGUUGUUCCUUAGCAAAGACUAAAGACCUGCUUUCAGGAGUCAAGCCGAACCUUUGUUGCUCUUUCCUUUCCCCGUGGGCCUUAGAAUAUUCUUGGAAAAUCAGCAUUGGAUGUGAAAGGGGCCUGCACUUAGCUAGUGGGGAUGGCUUGGAAGAAAUGCUGGCCA
rnacentral:lncRNA from 1 species